rnacentral:rRNA from 1 species
AGGGGAUAACACUUGGAAACAGGUGCUAAUACCGUAUAACACUAUUUUCCGCAUGGAAGAAAGUUGAAAGGCGCUUUUGCGUCACUGAUGGAUGGACCCGCGGUGCAUUAGCUAGUUGGUGAGGUAACGGCUCACCAAGGCAACGAUGCAUAGCCGACCUGAGAGGGUGAUCGGCCACACUGGGACUGAGACACGGCCCAGACUCCUACGGGAGGCAGCAGUAGGGAAUCUUCGGCAAUGGACGAAAGUCUGACCGAGCAACGCCGCGUGAGUGAAGAAGGUUUUCGGAUCGUAAAACUCUGUUGUUAGAGAAGAACAAGGAUGAGAGUAAAACGUUCAUCCCUUGACGGUAUCUAACCAGAAAGCCACGGCUAACUACGUGCCAGCAGCCGCGGUAAUACGUAGGUGGCAAGCGUUGUCCGGAUUUAUUGGGCGUAAAGCGAGCGCAGGCGGUUUCUUAAGUCUGAUGUGAAAGCCCCCGGCUCAACCGGGGAGGGUCAUUGGAAACUGGGAGACUUGAGUGCAG